AUGUCCACAUCGUCGCGCUGUGCUAUCUGUGGAGAGGAGGACUCGUGGAUGCAUUCAUUGAUAACUUGUACGAUGGCUCGUUGUGUAUGGGCUCUAAGCGAUCCGGAGCUGGUGGAGCACGUGAUUGCAACAGCGGAGCCUAAUGCAAAGGGAUGGAUCUUUAGCAUGCAAGAAUCAAUGCCACAUGAGGAGUUCACAAAGCUAGCCGUGACACUGUGGGCAAUUUGGUCGGCGCGGAGAAAGCUAAUCCAUGAAGGGGAACACCAGAGCCCGAUGGGGACACAUUCUUUCAUCACACGGUACUUGGCAGACUUGCGUAUUGCUUUCUCAUCACAUGAAAUACCGAAGCCAAGGACAAUUCCAGCGCGGGUACAAGAAUGGGUACCACCACCGGCAGGUCACCAUAAGGUAAACGUCGAUGCAGCCACCUGUAAACAUCCUCCUAUGGGGGCUGUUAGUGCUGUCUGCCGGGAUCAGUCAGGAGCAUAUGUUGGAUCGGCGGCAGUGGUCUUCCAUGGAAUGACUGAUCCGAAUAUCUUGGAAGCUCUUGCAUGUCGCGGGGCUAUUGCACUGGCCAAGGACCUGACACUGACUCAUAUCAGGGUGGCCUCAGAUUGCCUCUCGGUGGUCAAGGACAUACAAACUGGAACUAUGGGCACAAUUGCUCCAAUUGUGCAGGAGAUCGACGACUUGAGCAGGGAUUUUCAGUCCUGCUCCUUUACCCAUGAGAGACGUCUUUCCAAUAAGGAGGCUCAUGGCUUAGCUAGACAUGCUUUACAUUUAGGGGAGGGUCGCCAUGUGUGGCUGUUACACCCUCAUGAUACUUCUAUCAUUCCUGUAAUUCGCUCUAUUGAUCAAUAA
rnacentral:rRNA from 1 species